rnacentral:rRNA from 1 species
UACGGGAGGUGCAAGCGUUGUUCGGAGUGACUGGGCGUAAAGCGCACGUAGGUGGGCUUGUAAGUCGGAUGUGAAAUCCCCAGGCUCAACCUGGGAACUGCGUCUGAUACUGGAUGGCUUGAAUCCGGGAGAGGGAUGCAGAAUUCCAGGUGUAGCGGUGAAAUGCGUAGAUAUCUGGAGGAAUACCGGUGGCGAAGGCGGCAUCCUGGACCGGCAUUGACGCUGAGGAGCGAAAGCCAGGGGAGCAAACGGG